rnacentral:rRNA from 1 species
UCCCCUGACCGCGUAGUUAGAAAGUACGUUUCACCCUCGGGUGACAGGGAGACAGGUGGUGCAUGGUUGUCGUCAGCUCGUGUCGUGAGAUGUUGGGUUAAGUCCCGCAACGAGCGCAACCCCUACGUUUAGUUGCUAACGCGUGAAGGCGAGCACUCUAGACGAACUGCCGUUGACAAAACGGAGGAAGGUGGGAUGACGUCAAAUCAUCAUGCCCCUUAUGUUCUGGGCUACACACGUGCUACAAUGGCCGGUACAGACGGACGCAAAGCCGCGAGGUGGAGCAAAUCCUAAAAAGCCGGUCUCAGUUCGGAUUGCAGGCUGCAAUUCGCCUGCAUGAAGUCGGAAUCGCUAGUAAUCGCAGGUCAGCAUACUGCGGUGAAUACGUUCCCGGGCCUU